UACUUAGUGGCAGACGGGUGAGUAACAUGUAGGUAUCUGCCCUUUGGCCUGGAAUAACACGAGGAAACUUGUGCUAAUACCGGAUAAGUCUUUACGGAGAAAGCUUUAUGCACCAUUGGAUGAGCCUGCACUUGAUUAGUUUGUUGGUGGGGUAAUGGCCUACCAAGACUGUGAUCAAUAGCUGAUUUGAGAGGAUGAUCAGCCACAUUGGGACUGAGACACGGCCCAAACUCCUACGGGAGGCAGCAGUGGGGAAUCUUGCACAAUGGAGGAAACUCUGAUGCAGCGAUGCCGCGUGAGUGAAGAAGGCCCUUGGGUUGUAAAGCUCUUUCGUCGGGGAAGAAAAUGACUGUACCCGAAUAAGAAGGUCCGGCUAACUUCGUGCCAGCAGCCGCGGUAAUACGAAGGGACCUAGCGUAGUUCGGAAUUACUGGGCUUAAAGAGUUCGUAGGUGGUUGAAAAAGUUAGUGGUGAAAUCCC
rnacentral:rRNA from 1 species